AGCGAACGCUGGCGGCAGGCCUAACACAUGCAAGUCGAACGAACCCUUCGGGGUUAGUGGCGGACGGGUGAGUAACGCGUGGGAACGUGCCUUUAGGUUCGGAAUAACUCAGGGAAACUUGUGCUAAUACCGAAUGUGCCCUUCGGGGGAAAGAUUUAUCGCCUUUAGAGCGGCCCGCGUCUGAUUAGCUAGUUGGUGAGGUAAUGGCUCACCAAGGCUACGAUCAGUAGCUGGUCUGAGAGGAUGACCAGCCACAUUGGGACUGGGACACGGCCCAAACUCCUACGGGAGGCAGCAGUGGGGAAUCUUGCGCAAUGGGCGAAAGCCUGACGCAGCCAUGCCGCGUGGAUGAUGAAGGUCUUAGGAUUGUAAAAUCCUUUCACCGGUGAAGAUAAUGACUGUAGCCGGAGAAGAAGCCCCGGCUAACUUCGUGCCAGCCGCCGCCGUAAUAC
rnacentral:rRNA from 1 species